rnacentral:rRNA from 1 species
GUCCAGACUCCUACGGGAGGCAGCAGUGGGGAAUAUUGCACAAUGGGGGAAACCCUGAUGCAGCAACGCCGCGUGAGUGAAGAAGUAUUUCGGUAUGUAAAGCCCUAUCGGCAGGGAAGAAGGAGGACGGUACCUGACUAAGAAGCCCCGGCUAACUACGUGCCAGCAGCCGCGGUAAUACGUAGGGGGCAAGCGUUAUCCGGAUUUACUGGGUGUAAAGGGGGCGCAGACGGCAGCGCAAGCCAGGAGUGAAAGCCCGGGGCCCAACCCCGGGACUGCUCUUGGAACUGCGCGGCUGGAGUGCAGGAGGGGCAGGCGGAAUUCCUAGUGUAGCGGUGAAAUGCGUAGAUAUUAGGAGGAACACCGGUGGCGAAGGCGGCCUGCUGGACUGUGACUGACGUUGAGGCCCGAAGGCGUGGGGAGCAAACAGGAUUAGAUACCCCGGUA